rnacentral:misc_RNA from 1 species
UCAAACUUGGUCAUUUAGAGGAAGUAAAAGUCGUAACAAGGUUUCCGUAGGUGAACCUGCGGAAGGAUCAUUACAAAUCAUCAGUAUGUGUGUUGGUGAGGUGAGAGGGGGGGGGGUGGUGGUGGUGUGAUUAUAGUGAGAGUUUUAGGGUAACCUAAUUUUUACUAUAUAUGCACUUUUUCACUCUUAUCUCCUUUCUACCUAACAACAACAACUUUCACGCUUGUUGUGUUUGACAGAGUAAUUGUGAAUUUUAAAAUAUGAGACAACUUUUAACAAUGGAUCUCUUGGCUCUUGCAUCGAUGAAGAACGCAGC